UGGGGAAUAUUGGACAAUGGGCGCAAGCCUGAUCCAGCCAUGCCGCGUGAGUGAUGAAGGCCCUAGGGUUGUAAAGCUCUUUCACCGGUGAAGAUAAUGACGGUAACCGGAGAAGAAGCUCCGGCUAACUUCGUGCCAGCAGCCGCGGUAAUACGAAGGGGGCUAGCGUUGUUCGGAUUUACUGGGCGUAAAGCGCACGUAGGCGGACUAUUAAGUCAGGGGUGAAAUCCCGGGGCUCAACCCCGGAACUGCCUUUGAUACUGGUAGUCUUGAGUUCGAGAGAGGUGAGUGGAAUUCCGAGUGUAGAAGUGAAAUUCGUAGAUAUUCGGAGGAACACCAGUGGCGAAGGCGGCUCACUGGCUCGAUACUGACGCUGAGGUGCGAAAGCGUGGGGAGCAAACAGG
rnacentral:rRNA from 1 species